rnacentral:sRNA from 1 species
GUCAAAUCUGUCAAUUGAAAAUGUCAUCAAAUAGACGAAAAUGCCAAGUACUGGCAAAAAUUAAAAAAAUUUAUGUCGGAAGGAAGAAUUUUAAAGAUCUAAAGCGUUAUAUCCUAAGAAAAAAUAGAACCUAGACCGCCAGGCAUAUCAGGCAGUUUUGAAUGAAAUUCAUUCUGGUGCAGCUGAAGUGGAAUGACCGUCAUGCAAACGAAAGUGAGAGAGAAACAUUGCCAAGGCAAACAGAGAUACUCCACUCUUGGUUCGAGUUAAAUCAGGGUGGAGGAAAAUUUUCCACGCACAUGCCACAAAAAAAAACAUUGCCGAAUAGAGGUAUUCUUUAAUAUCAGCAUAACUUACAACAAAAACCAUAGUGGUUGAAAAUAUCUCCAUAGUUCACUGGUCCACAGUAAUCCAUAAUCGAAAUCCUGAAGUUUGAAUCAGAAUUUCCUUUCUUCUACAGAUGAAGGAUUAUAUUUUUAUAUUAAUUUAAAGAUAUUUUGGAAGAAACGUUUCUAAAAAAUACUGUAUUGGCUAUUUUCAUGUAAAAUUGUAAUAGUGGAUAAAUAAAAAAAUUAUUAAAUAAAGAUUACAAAAAAUA